GACGAACGCUGGCGGCGUGCCUAAUACAUGCAAGUAGAACGCUGAAGCUUGGUGCUUGCACCGAGCGGAUGAGUUGCGAACGGGUGAGUAACGCGUAGGUAACCUGCCUGGUAGCGGGGGAUAACUAUUGGAAACGAUAGCUAAUACCGCAUAAGAGUAGAUGUUGCAUGACAUUUGCUUAAAAGGUGCAAUUGCAUCACUACCAGAUGGACCUGCGUUGUAUUAGCUAGUUGGUGAGGUAACGGCUCACCAAGGCAACGAUACAUAGCCGACCUGAGAGGGUGAUCGGCCACACUGGGACUGAGACACGGCCCAGACUCCUACGGGAGGCAGCAGUAGGGAAUCUUCGGCAAUGGACGGAAGUCUGACCGAGCAACGCCGCGUGAGGGAAGAAGGUUUUCGGAUCGUAAAGCUCUGUUGUAAGAGAAGAACGAGUGUGAGAGUGGAAAGUUCACACUGUGACGGUAUCUUACCAGAAAGGGACGGCUAACUACGUG
rnacentral:rRNA from 1 species